CGACAGACUGCCCCGCCUCCUGUUAUCACCACACCUGGCCGCCUCACCUGAUCGCCUUUUCAGCUGGGUCGUGCAGCUCGCCGUUGUUUGGCAGUUCAUUGGCCGGGUCUUCCUUCUCCCGUAUCGGCCCCAAUUGUAGGGCAUGCGAGUGUUUUCCUCCUCUGCCGGUUGCAGCGGGGAGCGAUAAGCUGAUCGAUCGAGUUGCACGUAAUUGUGCUGCUCGACGCAAGUGAUCCCCUUCCUCCCCUUUGAUGUUCAUUCAACUCCUGACGGGUUGACGUGUGUGUGGGCGGUUUCUGCCAGCACGUUUCCCCCCCCUCUUCACGCUGCUGUUGGCCGGCUGCUGUUUUGCCCACUGGCUUAUAUAGCCAACACAUCCAUCCUGCAUCUUCUACUGUGCUGUACCUGCCACCGAGUAUGGUGACUGCUGCCUCAUCCUCAGUCUCAUCUUAAUCUAUUCAGUUAACCGACUUCUAACUGAUCUUAUUGAUGAUAUUAUUUGUGUUUUGUGGUUUGCUUUGCAUGUUUUUGGUUUAAUUCGUUUUCUUAGUUAUUUUGGUUUGGCUUAAUUGCUUUACCUAUUUAUUUGGAUUUAUCAGUUUGGAUAAAUCUCCAUUACUUUUGAUUUAAUUUCUCUGUUAGUUUUCUUUUGUUUGCAUUU